AUUUUUUAUUUUUAUUUUUUUAAAAUAAUGGUAUAAUAGGAUAAACAAGUGUAACGGAGGCACAGAUAUUGAUUGAGGUUCUACUUGGGAUGAACUCAGACUAUGUUUGGUCGGCGGCCAUAAUGCAAUGUGAUUUUCUAUGGAAUUAAUUUUGCAUCUGAGUAUUCACGGCGUUAGAGUCAAUUACAUGACUACUAAGCCAAAGCGAAAGCUCUUUUUUUUUAAUUAUUCUUUUAUUGUAAAGUAAUACGGUAGGAUAAAUAAGUGAAACAGAAGCAAAGAUAAUCAAAAUUAAAACUCCGUUUGUUUCAUGGUGUAUUUUACGGUAUUUUAGGUUCUCAGGAAAAUUGUUUAAUCUAAAAGAUUUGCCAGAAAAGUUUUUUUUGGAAAAUAAACUGAGCCUUGUUAUGCAUUCAUUUUCUUGGUUUUUUGGUUUAUAGGAAAUGCUUUUGAAUUUUAACUUUCUUUAUGCUCAGAAGCAAUAUGUAAAAAUGUUGGUUAAGUUCAUUGAACUUGAAUCAUGUAAGCAACAAUUUCUAUCUUGAUUGUUGCUAGUUGACAUAAAGAUCAUGAAAUCACUCAAUAGUAGAUACAUCAUUUCAAUAUAUCAACUAUUCAAUUGUAGGAUACGGUGUUUUGAGAUAUUGCUGUUUGAAUUCCUGUUCUUUCCUAAUUCU
rnacentral:misc_RNA from 1 species